GAUACAAACCCAGAUUUCAAAUUCAGAUUUCCUAUACAUCUUUAACCUGUAUAUCAGUGUAUACACUAUGUAUAUAGCUGGUAUACAGCUUUCUGCAACACCUGUAAUGUAAUUUUCCAUUUUUGAUGAACCUCUAAUCAAUUUCCAGCAAUGCAUUUCAACCUGCUCUUCGUCUUGUACAUCGAUUUACCAAUUUGGGAGAGGGUUGACGACUCGAGAGUAGAGGUUUGAGCCUUUACGGCUCAACGAGAGAAUGUAAC
rnacentral:misc_RNA from 1 species